GAAGAAUAGGAAAAUGCCAAAUGAUGAUCAUAAGUUGGUAGCAAGAAGAAAUGAUCAUCUGAGAAGAUUGGAAUGAUCUAGAUCAUUUUUCCUGAUUUUUGGACGUUAUAUCACUUGGUCGACAAUCUGGACAUGCUGAUUUCAGUAACAAAGUCUUCACGAAUAGUUAUCCAAAAUUGAACACCAGGACUACCAAAUCUGUUGACACGACGAGUACCACACAGCUAGUACUUCAACAAACUCCAAAAACCUACAGCUUUCAACAAAAUUGACCAAGAUGACUAAAUACUCAUUCUCAUAUACACUCAUUCCUCUGCUCUUAUGAUACAACUUCAAUUAUAAUCCAUGUUACAGAUCAGCAGCACCAUAUACCUAGUACUCCAACAAACUCCAAAACCUACAGCUUUCGACAAAAUUGACCAAGGUUAGCAGUACCACACACCUAGUAUUCCAACAAGCUCCAAAAACCUACAGCUUUCGACAAAAUUGACCAAGGCCAGCAGUUGCACCCUUGGGAAACUACCAAACAGUAAAAAUUGGAACUAAUCCCGAUGAGCCCCAACGAGCAAUCCCAACGAGUAAAUCGUUCUCGAAGAGAACACGAGGACGUAGGCACUAAGGACGACCUUGUGCGCCCUGAGGCUCGUCUCGGCGCAGACCAGGGUCACGUCGACGAGUAUCUCCGCGUGCA